ACUCCUACGGGAGGCAGCAGUGGGGAAUAUUGGACAAUGGGCGAAAGCCUGAUCCAGCAAUACCGCGUGUGUGAAGAAGGCCUUCGGGUUGUAAAGCUCUUUCGCAAGGGAAGAGAACUUAGUUCUUAAUACGAGCUGAGGAUGACGGUACCUUGAUAAGAAGCACCGACUAACUACGUGCCAGCAGCCGCGGUAAUACGUAGGGUGCGAGCGUUAAUCGGAAUUACUGGGCGUAAAGCGUGCGCAGGCGGAUUGUUAAGCAAGAUGUGAAAUCCCCGGGCUUAACCUGGGAAUGGCAUUUUGAACUGGCAGUCUAGAGUGCGUCAGAGGGGGGUGGAAUUCCACGUGUAGCAGUGAAAUGCGUAGAGAUGUGGAGGAACACCGAUGGCGAAGGCAGCCCCCUGGGAUGACACUGACGCUCAUGUACGAAAGCGUGGGUAGCAAACAGGAUUAGAUACCCUGGUAGUCCACGCCCUAAACGAUGUCAACUGGUUGUUGGGGGAGUGAAAUCCCUUAGUAACGAAGCUAACGCGUGAAGUUGACCGCCUGGGGAGUACGGUCGCAAGAUUAAAACUCAAAGGAAUUGACGGGG
rnacentral:rRNA from 1 species